rnacentral:rRNA from 1 species
CUCUAUGUCCAUACCACCUUGAACAUGUCUUAUUUUAUUCAGUCUUGGAAACUAAGCAGGUUCAGUCCUGAUGAGAAGUUGGAUAGGAGAUAUUAAGU